AUGACAGACGAAUGGCUAAAAAAUCUUCCUAAUGCAUCAAAAUGGACGCUCAGAUUUCCUGUAAGAGGUCUGAGCUGUUCCUCCCAGCUUCGAGCUGCCCCAACUAGCCAGAUGAAAUCAAAGAAGACCUUAGCCAAACCCAAUGUAAGGAAUAUAGUGGUGGUGGACAGUGUCCGGACUCCAUUUUUGCUGUCAGGCACUUCAUACAAAGACCUGAUGCCACAUGAUUUGGCUAGAGCAGCACUAACGGGGUUGUUGCAGCAGACCAGUGUCCCAAAGGAAAUUGUUGAUUAUAUCAUCUUUGGCAUAGUUUUAUUCAAAAAGUGAAAAUAAGCAACAUAGCUAGAGAGGGUGCCCUCGGAGCUGGCUGCUCUGACAAGACUCCCGCUCACACUGUAACCAUGGCUUGUAUCUCUGCCAACCAUGACCCCAGGUGUUGGCUUGAUUGCUUCUGGCCAGUGUGAUGUGAUUGUGGCAGGUGGUGUAGAGUUAAUGUCUGAUGUCCCUAUUUGUCAUUCAAGGAAAAUGAGGAAAAUGAUGAUUGAUCUCAAUAAGGCCAAGACUCUGGGCCAGCGACUGUCUUUAAUCUCUAAAUUCAGACUGAAUUUUCUCUCAUGUGAGCUCCCUGCAGUGGCUGAAUUCUCUACCAGUGAGACCAUGGGCCGACUGGCUGCUGCCUUCGCUGUUUCUCGCCUGGAACAGGAUGAAUAUGCACUGCGCUCUCACAGUCUGGCCAAGAAGGCACAAGAUGAAGGACUCCUUUCUGAUUUUAUACCUUUCAAAGUGCCAGGAAAAGAUACAUUUACCAAAGAUAACAGCAUCCAUCCUUCCUCACUGGAGCAGAUGGCCAAAUUAAAACCUGCAUUCAUCAAGCCCUAUGGCACCAUAACAGCUGCAAAUUCUUCUUUCCUGACUGAUGGGGCAUCUGCAAUGCUGAUUAUGGCAGCGGAAAAAGCUCCAGCCAUGGGCUAUAAACUGAAGGCUUAUUUGAGGGAUUUUGUGUAUGUAUCUCAGGAUCCAAAAGAUCAACUUUUACUUGGACCAACAUAUGCUACUCCAGAAGUUCUAGAAAAGGCAGGAUUAACCAUGAAUGAUAUUGAUGUUUUUGAAUUUCAUGAAGCUUUCUUAGGUCAAAUUUUGGCUAAUUUUAAAGCCAUGGAUUCUGAUUGGUUUGCACAAAACUACAUGGGUAGAAAAACCAAGGUUGGAUUGCCUCCUUUGGAGAAGUUCAAUAAUUGGGGUGGAUCUUUGUCCCUGGGACACCCAUUUGGAGCCACUAGCUGUCGGCUGGUCAUGGUAGCUGCCAACAGAUUAUGGAAGGAAGGAGGCCAGUAUGGCUUAGUGGCUGCCUGUGCAGUCGGAGGGCAGGGCCAUGCUAUGAUAGUGGAGGCUUAUUCAAAAUAA